CACCGCGGUUAGACGAGAGGCCCCAGUUGAUCAUUAAACGGCGUAAAGGGUGGUUAAGGGUAAUUAAAAAUAAAGCCAAAUGGCCCUUUGGCCGUCAUACGCCUCUAGGUGUCCGAAGCCCCUACACGAAAGUAGCUUUAACCAAACCGCCUGACCCCACGAAAGCUGAGAAA
rnacentral:rRNA from 1 species